UGGAUGCAUUCCUGCAAGGGCUGGUGGGUGCCUGCGCCGUCUCGGUGCUCUGCAGCCUCCUGAAGGUUUAUCUCUACAUCCAGUGCCUGAAGUAAGCACCGCCCGGGGCAGGGGAGCAACCCAGAGAGGCAGGCAGAGAAGGAGGCGAUCCGGGCGCAGCGGGCGGUGCUGGAGCCGCUGCACGUGCUGGUGCUGACGGG